rnacentral:rRNA from 1 species
CAAAUAGCGUAUAUUAAAGUUGUUGCAGUUAAAAAGCUCGUAGUUGAAUUUCGGGAUCAAGGGAUCGGUCAUGCCUUGGUAUGUACUGGUUUCAUUGGUUUUCACCUUCUGAAGAACCAUGAUGUCAUUCAUUUGAUGUUAUGGGGAAUUAGGACUGUUACCUUGAAAAAAUUAGAGUGUUUAAAGCAAGCUUACGCUUGAAUACAUUAGCAUGGAAUAAUGAAAUAGGACAUUAGAUUCUAUUUUGUUGGUUUCUAGGAUCGAUGUAAUGAUUAAUAGGGAUAGUUGGGGGCAUUAGUAUUCAAUUGUCAGAGGUGAAAUUCUUGGAUUUAUUGAAGACUAACUACUGCGAAAGCAUUUGCCAAGGAUGUUUUCAUUAAUCAAGAACGAAAGUUAGGGGAUCGAAGACGAUCAGAUACCGUCGUAGUCUUAACCAUAAACUAUGCCGACUAGGGAUCGGAUGAUGUUAAUUUUUUAAUGACUCAUUCGGCACCUUACG